AUCGAACGCUGGCGGCAGGCUUAACACAUGCAAGUCGAGCGGGGUGAUGGUGCUUGCACUAUCACUUAGCGGCGGACGGGUGAGUAAUGCUUAGGAAUCUGCCUAUUAGUGGGGACAACAUCUCGAAAGGGAUGCUAAUACCGCAUACGUCCUACGGGAGAAAGCAGGGGAUCACUUGUGACCUUGCGCUAAUAGAUGAGCCUAAGUCGGAUUAGCUAGUUGGUGGGGUAAAGGCCUACCAAGGCGACGAUCUGUAGCGGGUCUGAGAGGAUGAUCCGCCACACUGGGACUGAGACACGGCCCAGACUCCAACGGGAGGCAGCAGUGGGGAAUAUUGGACAAUGGGGGGAACCCUGAUCCAGCCAUGCCGCGUGUGUGAAGAAGGCCUUAUGGUUGUAAAGCACUUUAAGCGAGGAGGAGGCUACUGAGACUAAUACUCUUGGAUAGUGGACGUUACUCGCAGAAUAAGCACCGGCUAACUCUGUGCCAGCAGCCGCCGUAA
rnacentral:rRNA from 1 species